UCCCAUAUGAUCUAGUGGUUAGGAUUUGGCGCUUUCACCGCCAAGGCCCGGGUUCAAUUCCCGGUGUGAGAA
rnacentral:tRNA from 1 species